rnacentral:rRNA from 10 species
UGGUAAUGAUGGCAGAGAGGUCACACCCGUUCCCAUACCGAACACGGAAGUUAAGCUCUCUAGCGCCGAUGGUAGUUGGGACCUUGUCCCUGUGAGAGUAGGACGUUGCCAGGC